UACGAAGGGAGCAAGUGUUAUUCGGAUUAACUGGGCGUAAAGGGUGCGUAGGCGGUUUAUUAAGUUAGUUGUUAAAUUUCACUGCUUAACGGUGAGCGAGCAAUUAAUACUGAUGAGCUAGAGGGUGGAAGAGAGGAGUGGAAUUCUUGGAGUAGCGGUAAAAUGCGUAGAUCUCAAGAGGAACACCAAUUGCGAAGGCAGCUCCUUGGUCCAUACCUGACGCUGAAGUACGAAAGCGUGGGGAGCAAACAGGAUUAGAUACCCCGGUAGU
rnacentral:rRNA from 1 species